rnacentral:rRNA from 1 species
CGUGUAGGCGGUUUGUACAGUUAGAUGUGAAAUCCCCGGGCUUAACCUGGGAACUGCAUGUGAUACUGGUGGUGCUAGAAUAUGUGAGAGGGAAGUAGAAUUCCAGGUGUAGCGGUGAAAUGCGUAGAGAUCUGGAGGAAUACCGAUGGCGAAGGCAGCUUCCUGGCAUAAUAUUGACACUGAGAUUCGAAAGCGUGGUAGCAAACA